rnacentral:rRNA from 1 species
CUACGGGCGGCUCCAGUGGGGAAUAUUGGACAAUGGGCGCAAGCCUGAUCCAGCCAUGCCGCGUGAGUGACGAAGGCCUUAGGGUUGUAAAGCUCUUUUGGCGGGGACGAUAAUGACGGUACCCGCAGAAUAAGCCCCGGCUAACUUCGUGCCAGCAGCCGCGGUAAUACGAAGGGGGCUAGCGUUGUUCGGAAUCACUGGGCGUAAAGCGCACGUAGGCGGAUUUGUAAGUCAGGGGUGAAAUCCCGGGGCUCAACCUCGGAACUGCCUUUGAUACUGCAAGUCUUGAGUUCGGGAGAGGUGAGUGGAAUUCCUAGUGUAGAGGUGAAAUUCGUAGAUAUUAGGAAGAACACCAGUGGCGAAGGCGGCUCACUGGCCCGAUACUGACGCUGAGGUGCGAAAGCGUGGGGAGCAAACAGGAUUAGAUACCCCAGUAGUC